CCAACGGCUCUUUUCAGAGCCACCCACUUUGUUAGCAAAGAGCUG
rfam:Caprimulgus carolinensis contig77604, whole genome shotgun sequence.